rnacentral:rRNA from 1 species
UACAGAGGUCUCAAGCGUUGUUCGGAUUCAUUGGGCGUAAAGGGUGCGUAGGUGGCGUCGUAAGUCAGGUGUGAAAUCUCGGAGCUUAACUCCGAAACUGCAUUUGAUAACUGCGGUGCUUGAGGACUGGAGAGGGAGACUGGAAUUUACGGUGUAGCAGUGAAAUGCGUAGAGAUCGUAAGGAAGACCAAUGGCGAAGGCGGGUCUCUGGACAGUUCCUGACACUGAGGCACGAAGGCCAGGGGAGCAAACGGG